rnacentral:siRNA from 1 species
CAUUUUUCAGACCAUUGUCCAU